rnacentral:rRNA from 1 species
GUGGGGAAUAUUGGACAAUGGGCGCAAGCCUGAUCCAGCCAUGCCGCGUGUGUGAAGAAGGUCUUCGGAUUGUAAAGCACUUUAAGUUGGGAGGAAGGGCAGUAAGUUAAUACCUUGCUGUUUUGACGUUACAGACAGAAUAAGCACCGGCUAACUUCGUGCGAGCAGCCGCGGUAAUACGAAGGGUGCAAGCGUUAAUCGGAAUUACUGGGCGUAAAGCGCGCGUAGGUGGUUUGGUAAGUUGGAGGUGAAAUCCCCGGGCUCAACCUGGGAACUGCCUCCAAAACUGCAUGCCUAGAGUACGGUAGAGGGUAGUGGAAUUUCCUGUGUAGCGGUGAAAUGCGUAGAUAUAGGAAGGAACACCAGUGGCGAAGGCGACUACCUGGACUGAUACUGACACUGAGGUGCGAAAGCUUGGGGAGCAAACAGGAUUAGAAACCCGAGUAGUCC